GAUACAUCUGAUGGGUCCGGGACGCAUAUUUCUGGGACUCCCGAUACUCCCCAGGCCUCUGCUAGUAGUUCACGGGCUAGAAGACCUAUGGGCCCUACAGCUGCCGAUAUCAGAAAGAGAGCGGCUAAGGAGAGUACUGGGAGGUUGGUAUUUCAGAGGCAUCCUACGACUGGUGUGUUGGAGGAGCCCCUCGGCCUGUCCAAAGCUUGCACGCGCAUAUUUAAGAUGUUUGAUAACCCAGGCGGGUACACAUGGAAGUUGACGCCCCGGGCGAUGAAGGAUACAUUUUUUGGUGAAUUAUAGAAAGAGUUUAGUUGGCAGCCUGGGGAUGAGCAUGACGUGAGGAAAAUGUGGGAGAAAAACGCCCGCAAAAGGUACUCCGACAUGAUGAGCGACUACAAGAAAGAGCUCAAGGAGUGUACCCGCCAAGGGAGAGAGAUGUCUAGACCCGUCUGGAUGACUCCCGAUUUUUGGACUGGACUCCAGGAAUACUGGCAGCGUCCCGAGGUUGAGGCUGUUUCUACACGAGCACGUGCCAACCGGAUGUCCGAGCCCGAUGGGGAGGGUACAGGGAUCAGUAAGCACGUGGGCGGGUCUCAGUCGACUCGUAUCCUGCAGCAGUAUAUGAGCUUGGAGCCUGAUUUUCCCCAGGAUGCACCGAACUAUGCCACCUUCCUCCGCCUCCACAUGUACGCCGAUGAAAGUUAUACGUCGGAGAGAGAUGCAAGAAUUGACGUAAGUGUUUAAGUUUAUUCAAAUAUUUAGUGAAUGUAUUUAUUUUCUAACAAUUAUGCAUUGUUAUGUAUGAAUUAGGCCGAGGUUCAUCGACUGGCCGCUGCCACAAGACGAGAGUCACGGCUAGAUGAGGUGUAUUUGAAGGUGGUGCAUCCGGAUAGGUCACGGAUCUACGGCGUCGGGAUUGCCGGGCAGAGUCAGGCUAGUAGGGGGUCUAUCCGCAGCACGGGCACUUCUACGGUGUCUCAGCAGCUUUAUGAGACACGGAUCUCCACGCUGGAGGAGCGAUUGGCGGCAGAGCAAGCAGCACGCCAAGAGAUGCAGGACCGCAUGGCUCAAUUGAAGGCGUUUAUAAGGAUGUAUAAUGCUCAGCCACC